UGCAAUACGUUGAAGGAAAAAAGUACUUGUUGGUCCGUGUACAGAAAGAGGUUCCUAGGCUGUGAGAACCUUCACCAACCAAUUUGGAAAAGCUAUUCCUGAGUGUAGCCAAAAACUACCGUGUGCCGCGUUAAGGUAAUUAAGUGAUAAUAGCAAAAGCUAUUAUAAUUAGGGUGGUACCGCGAAUAGAAACCUUCGUCCCUGUU
rnacentral:ncRNA from 1 species